rnacentral:lncRNA from 1 species
AUGUUUCCGGUGGCCGUGAACGCACCACAGGCCACCGAGUCUCCGCUUUCCUGCGCAGUUUGUCCCCAAAUGAGCGCAGAACUGUUUCACUUUCACAAAAAAGAAGAACUAACUUCACGUUCAUCUGACAGCCCAACAUUUAAGAGGAAGGCGGGCAGAAAGGCCGCCUACGGCGAGCCCAGGAGGUCAAAAAGAACAAAUCAGAGCCAAGAAACGGAGCUGGGGCCGUGUAGGAGAGAACCAGAGGAGGUGAGACUGGCGGACCAUGCUGUCAUCUUUCUACCACUGCACAGCCAAUUUAAAGACAUAAAAUCAAAUAUUAAGGCAAUGUUGGUUUACAAUUAUUUUCAACGCCAAAAGACGAAAUGGCCAAACUCGGAGGAUCUUCAGAGAGUUUUACUGAGGGUGGCCAGAAAACCCAAACUGUGCCGGUGUUUUACCGGACAGACCGGGAGGAAACCAACCAGUAAAACACAGACAGCAGGACAACGAAUUGGGCAUACAUUUCACACUUUCGUGGGCCUGAUGGGUAAAAGGCUCGAUGAUCAAGGUAUGCCAACCAUGUCUUAUUUUCUGCCUAUAUCUACCUGGUAA